GGAGUUAGCCGGUGCUUCUUCUGUGAGUGAUGUCCUUCCUGCCGGCUAUUAACCCGCAGGCCUUCUUCCUCACUGAAAGUGCUUUACAACCCGAAGGCCUUCUUCACACACGCGGCAUGGCUGGAUCAGGGUUGCCCCCAUUGUCCAAUAUUCCCCACUGCUGCCUCCCGUAGGAGUCUGGGCCGUGUCUCAGUCCCAGUGUGGCUGAUCAUCCUCUCAGACCAGCUACGGAUCGUCGCCUUGGUGAGCCGUUACCUCACCAACCAGCUAAUCCGACAUAGGAUCAUCCGAUAGCGCGAGGCCCGAAGGUCCCCCGCUUUCCCCCGUAGGGCGUAUGCGGUAUUAGCCUGGGUUUCCCCAGGUUAUCCCCCACUACCGGGCAGAUUCCUAUGCAUUACUCACCCGUCCGCCGCUCGCCACCAGGGAGCAAGCUCCCCGUGCUGCCGCUCGACUUGCAUGUGUUAGGCCUGCCGCCAGCGUUCAAUCUGAGCCAUAAUCAAACUCUGA
rnacentral:rRNA from 1 species